CCUACGGGUGGCUGCAGUGAGGAAUAUUGGUCAAUGGACGAGAGUCUGAACCAGCCAAGUAGCGUGAAGGAUGACUGCCCUAUGGGUUGUAAACUUCUUUUAUAUGGGAAUAAAAUGUUCCACGUGUGGGAUUUUGUAUGUACCAUAUGAAUAAGGAUCGGCUAACUCCGUGCCAGCAGCCGCGGUAAUACGGAGGAUCCGAGCGUUAUCCGGAUUUAUUGGGUUAAAAGGGAGCGUAGGUGGAUUGUUAAGUCAGUUGUGAAAGUUUGCGGCGCAACCGUAAAAUUGCAGUUGAUACUGGCAGUCUUGAGUACAGUAGAGGUGGGCGGAAUGCGUGGUGUAGCGGUGAAAUGCUUAGAUAUCACGAAGAACUCCGAUUGCGAAGGCAGUUCACUGGACUGCAACUGACACUGAGGCUCGAAAGUGUGGGUAUCAAACAGGAUUAGAUACCCUUGUAGUC
rnacentral:rRNA from 1 species